AUUGGGCAGUGGGAGGGAGAAGUACGCAGCGCCGCUCCGAGAACCUCUGAACAUGUGACUUGACUUUCCUUCGGCUUGUUGAGAGCCGGGGAGCAUUCUCUCCAGUCUUGCAUGAAAACAUCAAUAACAUAAAAAAAACAAGCAAACU
rnacentral:lncRNA from 1 species